AGCAUGUGAGUUUUGGGGAAACACAAACAUUGGUGCAUAAGAUAUUCUCCUGCUCUGAUUGCUUUCAAAGGCUCUCAGGAGUUCAGGCAUAAUAUGCAUAAAAAAGCAGGCAAACUCUGCUUAUGCAUAGAAUAAUAAAGUUUGUGCAUUGAACUCAAAAACUUAAGGAAGACUUGGUUUAAAGAUUUAUAAUCUUAAUAAAUUGAAUGUAGUUGACCUGUAAACAACAUGGGUUUAAACUGCAUGAGUCACUUAUGCAUGGAUUUUCUUCUGCUUCUGCCACCCCUGGAACAGCAAGACCAACCCUUCGUCUUCCUCCUUCUCCUCAGCCUACUUGGUGUGAAGACAAUGAGGAUGAAGACCUUUACGAUGAUACACUUCCACUUAAUAACCAGCUAUACAGGAAACAUGACUGGAGAGGCUUCAGGAAACUUACAGUCAUGGUGGAAGGGUGAAUGAGAAGCAACCAUGUCUUCAUGUGGCGGCAGGAGAGAGAGAGAGCAAAAGGGGAAGUGCUACACACUUUCAAACAAUCAGAUCUCAUGAG
rnacentral:sRNA from 1 species